AAGAGCUUGCUCUUUCCGGAAUUGAGUGGCAAACGGGUGAGUAACACGUAAACAACCUGCCUUCAGGAUGGGGACAACAGACGGAAACGACUGCUAAUACCGAAUAAGUUCCAAGAGCCGCAUGGCCCAUGGAAGAAAAGGUGGCCUCUACCUGUAAGCUAUCGCCUGAAGAGGGGUUUGCGUCUGAUUAGCUGGUUGGAGAGGUAACGGCCCACCAAGGCGACGAUCAGUAGCCGGUCUGAGAGGAUGAACGGCCACACUGGAACUGAGACACGGUCCAGACUCCUACGGGAGGCAGCAGUGGGGAAUCUUCCGCAAUGGGCGAAAGCCUGACGGAGCAACGCCGCGUGAGUGAUGACGGCCUUCGGGUUGUAAAACUCUGUGAUCCGGGACGAAAAGGCAGAGUGCGAAGAACAAACUGCAUUGACGGUACCGGAAAAGCAAGCCACGGCUAACUACGUGCCAGCAGCCGCGGUAAUACGUAGGUGGCAAGCGUUGUCCGGAAUUAUUGGGCGUAAAGCGCGCGCAGGCGGCUUCCCAAGUCCCUCUUAAAAGUGCGGGGCUUAACCCCGUGAUGGGAAGGAAACUGGGAAGCUGGAGUAUCGGAGAGGAAAGUGGAAUU
rnacentral:rRNA from 1 species